rnacentral:rRNA from 1 species
UCGUUGCCUGUAAUGGGUUGUGAGUAGAGCCCUCUGGAGAUUAAAAGAUGAGGCAACUCGUCUUUGGAUCGAAUCUGGGCAAUACUUGCAAUCUAGAAGAGGCAA